rnacentral:miRNA from 10 species
UACAGGCAUGAGCCACCACGCCUGACCGUAGAUGAGCAUUUAGUACAGUUCAGGCCAGGCACACUGGCUCACGCCUGUA